UGUAGAAAUGUCCGGCGACGCCAUUUGCGCUCUGUCGUGAAUGUAAAUAUUGUCUGUUCCACACUUGCGAAAAUACUCAUUAUUUCCAUGAAAUAAAACAAGUCCCAUGCAUACCGAGUGUUAUCCCGUUCGUCAGUGAACAUAUGUGACCAAGUGUCACGAGAGACGUGAAUUCCCACGUCCCACAGUCGACAUGUCAAAGUAAAACUUCAACCGCUGUCAGACUUUACUUGUAGACCAUGCUCAAUGAAUGUGUCACGGUGCGUGCUGAUUUAGAACUCGUGAAUCAGGAAUAAAAACGAGAAAAACAGCAGUAAGUUGAGACUCAUGCGGCAAUAUGGUGAUUUGUGCUGAACAGUGUCUGAUAAUUUUCCCCUAAAAAUCUCGUGCAAUCCACCAAUUUCAUCGAAAUUCAAUGCCACCAGUUGAGAUUUUUUCCAGGCGACAUUUGUCUCCCCUGACAGCUCGUGGUGGUGAUGAAAUCACCUCGUAAAUUUUAACACAAAUAUUGAGACGAAAAAAUCGUGGGGAUAAUGAGGAGCAGGUGCUACCCACACAUAUCUGUCGAACAUGAGUUCCACUGACAAUCAACGCUGGAAUAUUUUCAUUUGGAACAUGAUUCCAACCACGAAUUGAUCCGAACAGACUGAUUGAUACGAGAGCCAGGAAGAUCAGAGGAGACAAAUCAAACACAAACGACUGAACUGUGUCAUUAUUGACUAAUACAAUAGUUCACCAUGAGCAUUGUGGAAAUUUGUUGAUAAUGCGUGAUGAGGUGGAGUGUCCGUCAGGGAAAAACAUGAGUUUAGAUGCAAUUUUUCAAACAACUUGUGCCCCUUCGUAACGGAGUUAUUAACAAUGGCCAAUGACACGUUGAAUGCAGCAUAUCCACUCCACAAGUGUAUUUUCCAAGGCGACAUCAAGACGCUGAGUUUCCUACUGAGGACCCAUGAUAUUGCCGAGAAAGACAAACAUGGUAACACACCCCUCCACUUAGCAGUGAUGCUGGGCAGGAAAGAGUGCGUCCAGCUCUUGCUUGCCCACGGUGCCCCAGUAAAAGUAAAAAAUUUGUCGGGCUGGAGUCCCCUCGCCGAGGCGAUAAGCUACGGCGACAGGCAGACAAUAUCAUCCCUCGUGCGAAAAUUGAAGCAACAAGCACGCGAGCAGAUGGAGAAAAGGCGUCCAAAUUUGGUGGAAGCACUCCGUAAAAUGGGUGACUUCUACAUGGAACUAAAAUGGGAUUUUCAAAGCUGGGUGCCCCUCGUAUCGCGAAUAUUGCCCUCCGAUAUAUGUAGAAUACACAAAUGUGGCUCAUCAAUACGUAUGGACACGACUCUAGUUGAUUUCAAUGACAUGCGAUGGGAGCGCGGUGACAUAUCAUUCAUAUUCAAUGGCGAUCAGAAGCCAGGAAAAUCACUAACUGUACUGGAUAACAAGGCCAAGAUAUAUCAGCGAGUCAAGUACGAGGAGACUGAGCUCGAAAUUGAGGAUGAAGUUGAUAUACUCAUGUCGAGUGAUAUUAUGGCAGCACAAAUGUCGACAAAGGGGAUAACAUUCUCCAGAGCUCAAACUGGCUGGAUAUUCAGGGAGGACAAGAGGGAAAUGAUUGGCCAAUUCAAUGCUGAUUUUUAUCAGAUAAAUGGCAUUGUAUUUGAGAGCAGAAAGAGACGUGAGCACUUGAGUGAAGAAGAUUUGCAGAAGAAUAAAGCUAUUAUGGAGUCACUCACGAAGGGCAGCUCGCAGGGCUUUGCCAAUGGUGAACCACUGACCAGACGAGCAUCCCUGAACCCACCGCCUGACUCGAAAAUCACUUGGGAGGCUUAUCUCGAGGCACCCCCAGGUGAAUGUCCCCUCCUAGGUCGUAAUCUCGUGUAUAAAGAGAGCAGCAAGUCCUUCAAAGCCACCGCUGCUAUGAGCUCUGAUUUUCCACUCACUGUCGAUAUGUUACUGAAUGUGCUGGAAGUUAUCGCACCCUUCAAACACUUCAGCAAACUUCGUCAAUUUGUAUUGAUGAAAUUACCACCUGGAUUUCCUGUUAAAAUUGAUAUACCAAUUCUGCCUACAGUUACCGCUAAGAUAACAUUUCAAGAGUUCACAUUCAAACACGAUAUUGAUCCUGAAUUGUUUCAAGUUCCGUCAGACUAUUUUGAAGAUCCUAUGAGUUACUAUGGAGCAUAUUUGGCAAUGAUGAUGGUCCUGCAUACUGCCUCAUCUGUCUGAACAGGAGACAUUAAUCGGGAACGUAGCAGUGAAGAAUAAUUACUCGUAUUUCCAGACUUAUGACGCUUUGAUACUCUACCACUAAUCGAAGUCAAUUAUCGGACUGGCUCAGGAUCAUUCACUGUAUUAGGGGACCGUUUGGCAUUAGAUUAUCCACUGAGUGUGAGCCCUGAUGAAACCCCGUAAACCCAAAAAAGUGGUAUAAAUUUUUGUCACAUAAGUCCGGAUAUAAAAUUCCUCAUACCACGCAUUCUUCCCACUGCCUACAACUGAAGCCAUAAAGACAGUAAUUUGUCACCCGCUCAAAAUGCUGAUGAUAUUUGAAACUGCAAAAGUUGAUAUUUUCAAUGACAAUGGGAAAUUCACGAACUGAAGUGGGAUGAAAUGUAAUAAAAUCGUGGCCUUGUGGUGUAGACUGGAUCUGUUCAAAUUAUACCGAUAUAAGUGAACUCAAGGAUCAAUCUCAAAAAUUUUCGACUUUUCCAACAAUUAGAGCAGCAUUUUUCUACUCAACUUAUAUCGCUAUCUAGUCCAGAUACCGAAAUUCUUCGAGGAAGAAGCAAGGAUGACAAAUAUAUCUAUUUUUACACUGUCAGACACUAGGAAACAGACAACCCAUCUGCAUACAUCGGACGAGUUCGUGAUUGAACAUAAACUUUGUAAAAAAUAUUAGGACAGGGUGGGGCAAAAUGGAAAAUUUUGACUGUUUUUUCAAUGUUCAUAACUCAGGGAUAAAUUCGCCAAUCGAACUCAUUCUAGGGUUAUCAGGAAGGGAAAGAACUCUACUUUCCGUUGAAGUAAAAAUCACUGAUGAAUCAGUUCAUCUUCAUGAAAUUAUUAAUUAUCAAAUUGUCAUAAAUGAAAAACUGCUGGAUUUGAUUGAGAUCAAUGAAUAAUUAGCAUUUUAAAAAAUGUCGCAAGUCUCCAUUUUGCCCCUAAUCACUGAUUAGGUAAAUUAUCUGCACCUAGUUGUCUCAUCAAUCUGACUUCAAUGAAGAUUCUCGGCAAAAGCCGAUUUUUUAUCAAAAAAUCUCUCAAUUGGCGAGAGAGUAAAAGAAACUACUGAUAUGGGAGAAAAAGUUUGCACCAUGAAUUCUCAGCCAAGAGGCGGUGAAAAUAGUUGAAGGAUAGCUUAAAAAAUUUUCUCCUUUUCCAGGCCCUGGAUAAAAUAAAUUGAAGGGGAUUUGAAGAGGACAAAUAAUGCUGAGGAGUGUUCGAAAAUACGAGGUGGGAGACAGGUGUGGACGCCGCCAUCUUGUUUGGUUCCCCGCUCCCUCUGAGGCGCAGGUGUUUAAAGAUGGCGGAGUCCCACCUCGUAUUUUGAAACAUUUUUUGAGACUAACGGUCUUCUUCACAUCACCCUCAGCUCACUUAGUUCGAUUCCUAUAAAAGGAACGAAUUUUUCAAGCCAUCUUUUAGAUUUUUCCAUUCUCUUUUCGCUCGGAAUUCUCAACCCAAAAUUUUCCCUCCAUUUUGGUAGUUUUUUAUACUCUCGAAGCCUCUCAAAAGUUGUCAGAACUCAAGGGAAAUAUUUUGACGUUUCUCUCUAUUAGGGAAAAACGUAAAAAUAUCAGCAGUGCUUUGUUAAUUCAACUCAUUAACUCAUUAACGAAGUGUCAGAGACGAAAAUUUCAUCAGACUUUUCGUCUCAAAAUAUUUCUCUCGAGUUUUGGGACACCUGUACACACUACUCUCAUUUCAUACAUGUUUACAGUGUUAGCGUACAAUUCGCACCCCUGAGUAGUCUGAAAUCUGUCAAAUAGUCUCCAAAAUUAUUAUAUAUAUUCUAAUUAUAAGUAUUUUGAUCUGUUAAUUUUUAAAUAACUAUUUCAUCAAAUGUUGUCAUCAUUACUAUCAUGAAGCAAGUAUUGAACAUUGAUUUCUCUCCAGAAUUUAUUUCUAUUUAUAGCUAUUAACGUAAUUUUGUUCAACAUGAGCACAGAUAGAGUAUUCCAUAAUCUUAAUAACUUGAUAGAACUACCAUUUUCGUGCUUGGAACGGUUCCAAUGUAAUUGAAAUGUUUUAGAAUGUUUGUAUACCAAUGUAUAAAAAUAUACAUAAUUUUUCUUUUCCAAAAAUAAUAAUUUUAUUUCAAUAAAAACUCACAGCUGUGUCGAUUUGAUCGCUGAAAUUAUAAAGCAUGGGUCAUUCAACCAAUUUUUUACCAAUUUGUUUUUAUUCUUUUUACAAACUACGGAUUAUACUACACAGGGUGUUACAGUUACUGCAAAUUCACACGAGAAAAAUUUAUUUGCAAUAUCAAAAAACGUAUCCAAUUGUAGUCCUCCACGUGCGAAAUCAUUUGACUGUGACACUCCAUAAUAUAUUCCAUAAAGCCAAUAAAUAUUGUUAUUUACAUUUAUUUGUAUUAAGCCAAUUUGCACUCAAUAGUAUGUUACGCGAAUACAAUCAUCUAUAAAAAUAGAUGUAAUGUAAUCUCUUCCCAAUUUUCCUUUUUUU